rnacentral:lncRNA from 1 species
AUUUGAUGGUACAACUCAAAGGCCACCCUCUUUGUGAAGCCUCCCGUGACUAAAAAUACUCAUUCUGGAAAUGAAAAUAGAAAGCACGACAUCAUGCCCACCCUCCUAGAAGUGAAAGUAGAAAGCCUGCCAUCAUACACAUCAUCCCUCCUCAGUAAAGCAAACAUUACACAUACAAAGCCCUACAAAGCUUAUGGCUGAAAGGAGGAAAAGUAAAUGAGGCUGAAGAGAGUAUUUUGCUUAGUAAGGCAGGAGAACAGAUUGCUUUCAAGAGUUUUAAUCCCAUGAGGCGUGCGAUUAUCUCAUGUGAUCCUCAUAACAACCCUCGGAGGACCAAGAAAUGACAACGAGUGUUCUCUCUAUCCGAAGCAAAGGAGGAGGAAAAAUACUACACAGACAACAAAUUUAUCUUGCUUGCUUAGGAAACUUGGAGUAUGAUAACUACAAACACCCCAGACCUCAGGAGCAAAACAGCAGGAAAUAAAAUCAGGAUGGAAGAGGCAAAAUGUUGCCACAUGGACUCCCAGAAAUGUCCAGCCCCUUUCCAAGAACAGCCUCCUACAAGCUAGAGAUACAAUAAUGAAUACUGCACGUGAACAUUCUUUUUGCUUCCUGAUCUUUUUGAAGAUUUCAAAAAGUAGAAGUUUCCCUUACCACCGGAACACACUGCUGGGAGAAAAGGCUAUUCAUCUCCACCAGGAGCGUGGACUCCACCGCCUGAUGGAUGGUUUUUGCCUCAUUCUGCGGGGCCACUUUCAGGCCUUCUCCAAGCCAUGCUAUGCAGCCUCUCUGCAGACCACCGCCUCCUCAGUGGAAGCAGACCAGCAAAUGAGAGAACAUUGAUGGUCUAAGUGAAUCUGGUCCAAACAUCUUGCAUCAGACCUCCCAGGGCUUCAAACUACUGGAAAAGUCAUGGUCAAUGGCAAUAUUUGGAGACUUAAUGCAGCAUUCAAAGUCAAAUGUGAGUCUUGCACUGAUUUUUGCAAAAACCGAAGGCUACAACAACUUUUCAAAAACAAACAAACCUGAACUGCUAUAUUUUGCUUCAAUGAGAAAAACACACACACACACACACACACACACACACACACACACACACCUCAAUAUAACAAAAUCUUCUGGUCGAAUUCAAUCUCUUUUCUUUACUGCUUGUCUGUAGUUUACACAAACACUAUAAUGAUGCCCCAUGAAAUUUGUUUGUCUUACGUAAUAGCUAUAAUAUGGGAUAGGUUAACUCUGUUGAACAUAUACUGGUUGUGUUUAAAGAAACAAAAUUCAGACUGAAUAACAUUCAUUCAGUGACAGUCCAAGUAUAUUAAUUAGAAACAGCUGGGACAAAUAUAGUGGUAUCCCUAUUAAAGGAAGAAAGAAGAUAAUCAGAGAGGAUGGGGCAGGGAAUCUCUAUUAAUUCAACUAAAGGCUUUAAGGGAUUUUGUGAUAGAAAUACUAAUGUCUCAUAAAAUAUAGCAUUUCCUUAAAAUAACUAUUUCAGCUAAAUCCUAAACUUAUAAAAGGUACGUUGGGAUAGAUUUGAAAAUAUUUAACCCUCACAUAGCACCUUAAGUUUUCCAAAGACUGUCCUUUCCUUGUGAGGUAGAUAGUACAAGUAUUAUCAUUCUCAUUUGAUAUAGAAGGAAAUUGAGGCUAUGAAUGAUAUGUGACUUGCUUAACAUCACACAGUUAGUAAUGGGUCAGAGCUGGGAUCAGACCCAAGUGUUUCGAAUAAGAGCCCUGAGGACUCUUUCCAGGACAUCGUUCAGCCCAGUGAGAGUUUAUAAAGUACUAAUGAUUCACUGGGCUUUGUGCCCUUGGGUAAAAUGACUAUGAGCAGUGAAAAUCAAAACUAUAUAAUCGUAAUGCAGAAACCAGUCAAAGAAUAAAAUCAGAAGACCCAGGCUCUGGUCCCCA